AGAUUGAACGCUGGCGGCAGGCCUAACACAUGCAAGUCGAGCGCGAAAGUUUCUUCGGGAAUGAGUAGAGCGGCGGACGGGUGAGUAACGCGUGGGAAUUUGCCCAGUAGUGGGGGACAACUCGGGGAAACUCGAGCUAAUACCGCAUACGCCCUAUGGGGGAAAGCAGGGGAUCUUCGGACCUUGCGCUAUUGGAUAAGCCCGCGUCGGAUUAGCUAGGUUGGAGGUAAAGGCUACCAAGGCGACGAUCCGUAGCUGGUCUGAGAGGAUGAUCAGCCACGACUGGGACUGAGACCGACGGCCCAGACCUCCUACGGGAGGCAGCGAGUGGGAAUAGUGGACAAGUGGGGACAACCGUGAUCAGCCAUCGCCGCGUGUGUAGAAGUAGGCCGUAGGGUUAGUAA
rnacentral:rRNA from 1 species